AGUGAACGCUGGCGGUAGGCCUAACACAUGCAAGUCGAACGGCAGCACAGUAAGAGCUUGCUCUUACGGUUGGCGAGUGGCGGACGGGUGAGGAAUACAUCGGAAUCUACUUUUUCGUGGGGGAUAACGUAGGGAAACUUACGCUAAUACCGCAUACGAUCUACGGGAGAAAUCAGGGGAUCUUCGGACCUUUCGCGAUUGAAUGAGCCGAUGUCGGAUUAGCUAGUUGGCGGGGUAAAGGCCCACCAAGGCGACGAUCCGUAGCUGGUCUGAGAGGAUGAUCAGCCACACUGGAACUGAGACACGGUCCAGACUCCUACGGGAGGCAGCAGUAGGGAAUAUUGGACAAUGGGCGAAAGCCUGAUCCAGCAAUGCCGCGUGGGUGAAGAAGGUCUUCGGAUUGUAAAGCCCUGUUGUUAGGGAAGAAAAGCAGUAGGUUAAUCCGCCGAUGUUCUGACGGUACCUAAAGAAUAAGCCACGGCUAACUUCGUG
rnacentral:rRNA from 1 species